CACCGGAAAUCCUUUCGCAAAUGUCCCGCAACUGUUAGCAGAUAAGCGGCGCUAGAUAUGAGCGAUAUGCUAACAGAGCGUCGUUAACUGCUAGCAGGAUGUGAAAGGAGUGUUGCUGCUUCUGGGGGAUGUCUGGCAUGCUUCAGCCUUCAUCUCGCCUUUUACGGCCAAAUGUGCUGGGAAAGCUCCAUCUCGGAUCGGACCGCACCGCUGCCGUCAUGAAGGAAGCGGGGAUUUACGCUGAACCCGGGUCGCGGGGAGUGCUGGAGCCUUAUCCCAGCUGUCAACGGGCAGGAGGCGAGGAUGUGGGUGGAAACCGGAGUGCCCGGAGGAAACCCACGCAGGCACGGGGAGAACAUCUAAACUCCACACAGGCAGGGGCGGGGAUCGAACCCAGGUCCUCAGAACUGUGAGGCCAAUGCUUUAUUAGCUGAUCCACCGUGGCGCUUACGCUUGUAUAUUUACUCUAAAAUGUUAAACCAAAUGGUAUUAUUUUGUCCAAUUAAAGUCCACUAUUUUAAUGCUAACAUAUAGGUUGAAAUGCCAUAGAAGGGGUAACACAAAUUAGCUUAAACGUGAUGUAACUGAAAACCGCACAUGGUGUAGCAACACAUACAAACAGAGGAUGUGUGUGUGUGUGUGUGUGUGUGUGUACCUGCAUACUUAUGGGUUAGCCAGGGAACCAGGCAGGUCCAAACUGCAGAGCUGUGCCACCCAACCACGACAACGAAAACAACAACAACAAAGGCAAUAAAAACUCAAGACGAUUGAAACAUAAAACAAAAGGCAAAAACCUAAAGGAAAAAAAAAACACUAUUAAAAAGUUUAACAGAAAAAGAAUUAUAGAGAUAAAAAAGGAACAAACAGAAUAGAAAAUAAAUAAAAGUAACAAAAUUAAACAGUAUGGACUGGAAAAGGAGGAAAAAGGAAUAAAAAUGGACAACAAAAAGCAAAAUGCAAACCCAAAAAAAUUAUACAAAGAGAAAAAGAUUUUUUCCUUUUCUUUUAUUACUAAUGAAGUUGUUUCCAUCAACAGGGACGUACAAAAUGUUGACUAUGUUACAAAGUUCCACGGAGUCGACCGGAAUCCAGAGAUGCGGCCGGGAAUUGUGGGAAAAAUUGACACGGGAAUGAUAUCAAAGCCUUUUCAUGAUAUUUCUCAUCAAAAUCCUUGCGGUUUUCAUUAUUGUUUCAUUUGUGAUUCUUGUCAUGACAAUAAUAAAUAAGCUCUUCCCUCGUUAAUAAUUUUUUUACUCAAUAGCUGAACGUUUCCUCCAACCAAGCAGACGGCAUUAAUGCUAGCUGACAAACACGUUGCCGUGGUUACCGACUAUUUCUAACUAGAUCAUAUUUUUUACCUGAGUUCACGCGAUUACGAUCAAGUUUCACUGUAACUGGAGAUUGAGUCAUCUGACGUAAUGGACGUGGAGUGUUUACGUAGUCUUUAACCCCCCCAAUCCAUCCCAG